UACAGAGGGUGCUAGCGUUGUUCGGAAUCAUUGGGCGUAAAGAGCUCGUAGGCGGUGUGUCGCGUCGGCCGUGAAAACCUGCAGCUUAACUGUGGGCUUGCGGUCGAUACGGGCAGACUGGAGUACUGCAGGGGAGACUGGAAUUCCUGGUGUAGCGGUGGAAUGCGCAGAUAUCAGGAGGAACACCGGUGGCGAAGGCGGCAUCCUGGACCAACACUGACACUGAGGAGCGAAAGCGUGGGGAGCAAACAGG
rnacentral:rRNA from 1 species